rnacentral:rRNA from 1 species
GACGUAGGGCGCAAGCGUUAUCCGGAAUUAUUGGGCGUAAAGAGCUCGUAGGCGGUCUGUCACGUCGGCUGUGAAACUCCCGAGGCUCAACCUCGGGUCUGCAGUCGAUACGGGCAAACUAGAGUAUUGCAGGGGAGACUGGAAUUCCUGGUGUAGCGGUGAAAUGCGCAGAUAUCAGGAGGAACACCGGUGGCGAAGGCGGGUCUCUGGGCAAUAACUGACGCUGAGGAGCGAAAGCGUGGGGAGCGAACAGG